rnacentral:rRNA from 1 species
GACGAACGCUGGCGGCGUGCUUAACACAUGCGAGUCGAACGGAAAGGCCCUGCUUUUGUGGGGUGCUCGAGUGGCGAACGGGUGAGUAACACGUGAGUAACCUGCCCUUGACUUUGGGAUAACUUCAGGAAACUGGGGCUAAUACCGGAUAGGAGCUCCUGCUGCAUGGUGGGGGUUGGAAAGUUUCGGCGGUUGGGGAUGGACUCGCGGCUUAUCAGCUUGUUGGUGGGGUAGUGGCUUACCAAGGCUUUGACGGGUAGCCGGCCUGAGAGGGUGACCGGCCACAUUGGGACUGAGAUACGGCCCAGACUCCUACGGGAGGCAGCAGUGGGGAAUAUUGCACAAUGGGCGGAAGCCUGAUGCAGCAACGCCGCGUGCGGGAUGACGGCCUUCGGGUUGUAAACCGCUUUCGCCUGUGAUGAAGCGUGAGUGACGGUAAUGGGUAAAGAAGCACCGGCUAACUACGUG